rnacentral:rRNA from 1 species
AGUGAACGCUGGCGGUAGGCCUAACACAUGCAAGUCGAACGGCAGCACAGUAAGAGCUUGCUCUUACGGGUGGCGAGUGGCGGACGGGUGAGGAAUACAUCGGAAUCUACUUUUUCGUGGGUGAUAACGUAGGGAAACUUCCGCUAAUACCGCAUACGACCUACGGGUGAAAUCAGGGGAUCUUCGGACCUUGCGCGAUUGAAUGAGCCGAUGUCGGAUUAGCUAGUUGGCGGGUAAAGGCCCACCAAGGCGACGAUCCGUAGCUGGUCUGAGAGGAUGAUCAGCCACACUGGAACUGAGACACGGUCCAGACUCCUACGGGAGGCAGCAGUGGGGAAUAUUGGACAAUGGGCGCAAGCCUGAUCCAGCCAUACCGCGUGGGUGAAGAAGGCCUUCGGGUUGUAAAGCCCUUUUGUUGGGAAAGAAAAGCAGCAGGUUAAUACCCCGCUGUUCUGACGGUACCCAAAGAAUAAGCACCGGCUAACUUCGUG